rnacentral:rRNA from 1 species
GAUGAACGCUAGCGGCAGGCCUAAUACAUGCAAGUCGAACGAGAUUAAGAGGCUUGCUUCUUAUGAAAGUGGCGCACGGGUGCGUAACGCGUAUGCAACCUACCUUAAUCAGGGGGAUAGCCCGAAGAAAUUCGGAUUAAGACCGCAUAAAAACACAGGAUAGCAUUAUCCAAUGUUCAAAUAUUUAUAGGAUUAAGAUGGGCAUGCGUGUCAUUAGCUAGUUGGCGGGGUAACGGCCCACCAAGGCGACGAUGACUAGGGGAUCUGAGAGGAUGAUCCCCCACACUGGUACUGAGACACGGACCAGACUCCUACGGGAGGCAGCAGUAAGGAAUAUUGGUCAAUGGAGGGAACUCUGAACCAGCCAUGCCGCGUGCAGGAAGACAGCCCUCUGGGUCGUAAACUGCUUUUAUUCGGGAAUAAACCUUUCUACGUGUAGGAAGCUGAAUGUACCGAAGGAAUAAGGAUCGGCUAACUCCGUG